AUGCCUCAAAGCCUACAACACUUCUGUCUGUCUAUUCACUACGUUGAUUCUCAAGCCAGUGUGCCCCAAGUCAUGGCACCUGCAGUGUUUAGCUCCACCAGUACUGUGCUGGUCAUGAGGACCAUGGAUUCCAAGAGCAACAGGUUUGGGUAUUGUGGAUGCAAAAGCACUUUCAACCAGACCUUCUACUCCAGCUCAGAAAUUUUCUGGGAUGCUAAGUUGGUAGAGAAAACCUUUGAAACAGAUAUGAGCCUAAACUUCUAAAACUGGUCAGUGAUUGGGCCCCGCAUCCUCCUCCUGAAAGCGGCUGGGUUUAACCUGCUCACGAUGCCCAGCUGUGGCCCAGCUGAGGUCACCAGGACAAUAGAGAUCCAUCCCUAG